UAUAUGGUUUAUAUAUACUUUUGCCUGUAAAAAGGGAGAUAAUAUGCUACUUCCGGUUUAUAAAAUAUCACUUCCGGUCUUAAAUGAUAGAUAAAUGUAUGACCAUUCAAAAAAUAUAUGGUUUCUAUGUACUUCUACAUGAAAUAAGUGCAAAAAUGACUACUUCCGGUUCACUCAAGGUCACUUCCGGUUGACAUUUUUCAACGUCAUAUGUCAACCCACAGUUUGCAAAAGACCCUAUGGCUUUAUCAUGUACCAAGUUGGAGUAAUAAUCAAUUAACCUUAAAUUGAAUCAUUUCAGGGACAAUAACUCCUUUAAGAUGUCAUUGGAUUGUUUCAGACUAAAUGUAUCAUAUCUUAAUCACAA